GACAUCAUGGCUUUUUCCAUGGCAACUCACCGUGCUGCCCGGGAGGAUGCUGAACGCAAGAGCAGAGCGCAAGGUUUUCAGCUGGAGCUGAGCAAGCAGCCACAGGUUAGAGGCUCCUUGUCCAUGCUCUUACCUGCUCAGAGGGAGGAGGCAAUCCCUAUUUAUCACCGUGUUAUCCCUUCUUAUCACCACCAUCUCCUGGCAGGGCCUCCCAGCGCCUUGACGCAGGCUGCAUUCAGAGUGUGCAAACAUUAGAGAGCCCCGGUGCGCAGUCAUGUAACAUUGAAGCAUGAGUGAACUGAAUAAUGAGUGGGCCGGGAGCCAGGAAAGCCUGCGUGGUGCUUCACCGCUCGCUCCCUGGACGCCCUUGAGCUGGUCACAUAACUUAGCAGAGCUGCUCCGUUCCCAUUCAUGAAACGGGCCUGGAAAUACCCCUCCUCUGCCCAUGUCGUGACUUCUAGACAUGCUGCCUGCUGCCAGCUGUUGACUGACCCUGGUUCGAUAAGCUGCAGGCUAAGACGGUGCAUUUCUGAUGAAACCAAAUUCUACUUUUUGCUCGUUCUCCCCCAAAAAUCUGUAUUUCAUUCAUGCUCUUGCUGCAUUGUCUGAUAACUCAACCAUAACUCCCUGGGACAAAGCUGCCAGUAUAGGGCCCUUAUCGCUGGUGAGAUUUCCUAGUCAUUGCCAGUCCGGAAAGGAUUAGGGAGUAAUAAAUGCUGGCCGAAGGACCGUGUGAGCUACUUUUGCCUGUGGCAGCGCUUUUGAACGUUAUGGUGCUGCCUUUGAUGAUGCUAAGUCUCACCUUCAGCGUUAAAUAUUUGUUCCCCGUAAAAGAACGUUUCCCCCUAUAUCAGAAACCCAACCUUCUUUAUGCAUUUUAUGUGUAAGGAAAACCAGCCAGCUGCAUAGGAAAAUGCAGCUGGGUCGCUGAGCAUUAGCCCGCCAGCUUGCAUCCAGCACGGCUCGUCCUCGUCAAGGAAUUGCAGAGGGGAACCGUGCUCUGUGCAGCAGGUACCAGCCUUCCUCUGCCUGGGUCGCAGACAGGUCCCGCUCUGGUGUGUCGUGCGCGUUUCUCGGUGCUUCGCUCAAAGCUCGAGUUAGUUUUGGAGACUCUGCUCUCCAAGCUGAUCAAGGCCCAGUAGGGUGGUCCCAGCCUCAGGUUUCUUCAAGUUUUUUUGGGACAUUUGCAGGAGCCAUUCUCUUCAUCACAGCCCUUUCCAGUCCCUGCAAAAGGCUCUUUUCUUUGCCCUGGCCCUGGGGCAGCACAGAUAAUACUUCUGCAGCAGAUUCGGCGUCCUUCCCAGCUCCACGUUCCCCUUGUGUCUGGCAGAUUUCACUGUUUCUGUUCUCCCAAGGUCUU